GUCUUCAUCUGAUGGAGAUGGAAUUGCAGUGAAAUGUGGCCAAUUAUAGGCAUGGUCAUUGAUUGACUUGGCAUAUGGACCAUUAAGAACCGCUUUCCUCAAUUUUCCAUCAGGAUUGUUAGGUGAAGUUACAAACUCAAUCACAUUCAGAGAGUCUUCAGAACUGUUUUUGCACAACGAUGUAUCGCCAUAGAAUUCAUAGUCCUCAGUUGCAAAAAAUUCAGUCUGCAAUUCAUAAGCCUGAAAAAAAAUGUAUAUAAAGAACACCACUUAUAACAUUACUAAUCAAAUUAGUAUAUGAAAUUUCAUCUAUAAAUCAGAUUAGUACCGGGUAGAAUGGGAUGGAAACUACAACUUUUGAAGGUGUAGAUGAGUUAUCCAAGGAGAGGGCAUGGACUGCUGCAUUGAGUAAUUGGGUAGAGCCUGUUCCAAAAACAAUAUAUUUUCCUUCUGCAACUGCAUUUCCAGCUAUAGAAUGUAAUUUACGGAUGCUUUUCUCCAGUUCUUGCGAGGUAAAUGUAUGGUCACCGAAUGAAUAGCUCAUUCGAUGCCACCCUGCCACUACUAGUGCACUACUAGCUGCAUUUUGCAUCCAAAAUGGCUCCAAAAACAAGGGAUCCCCACUGCGAAGGAAAUAAAUUGAUACUCAGAUCUGUAGUAAACAUGAUGUAUAUGACAUAUUUGUUAGAUCACAAAGGCAAGUAGACCACACUUCUCAAUCACAGGAUUUAUUUUUAUUAUGUGGAAUAAUCUCUUUAUAUUGGGUGCAUCAACCAAUUUUAGAUCCCAUUAUCAUUGUAGAAUUUAAAUAUCUGGGAGUCUUGAACGACUCAUGGGAUGGUAAUUUUUGGAUAAAAUGGAAAUAUCUUGCAAUUUCACUAGUUUCUUUUAGAAAGAAACUAGUUAUAGAGUUUCUUUUACAGAGGACAGUUUCUCAAAUUCAAAGUAAGUAUUUAACCAGCAUAAAUUAUCCAAGUUAAACACUUGCUCUUUAAAACCUUUCCGGGGUCAAACUCCAAUACUAAUGUGCCUUUGAAUCUAGAAUCUACAUAUUUCACUAUACCAAUCCAAUGAUACACUCCAACUCUUGCUACAAGAGCAGAAGAAGAGAACAAAACCAGUAUAUCUCACUCGGAAAUAUGGUCUAAGUAAAACAACUCCUGAAGUAAGGGCAAAAGCGGAUCGUUUCUUAUUUAUAGCAGAACCAGGCCAGGGCUGACGUGCAGCCCCAGAAAAAUAGUAAAGAUUAACAUUUUAAUCUUUUGAAAUUUCAGAACUGCUUAUUAUUUUGAACCUGGAUUUAAAAUUAGUUCAGUCCCGUGUUAUUUUAAAUCCCCGAUCAAUCCCUGCUACCUGUCUACAUGUAUAAGGAGAUGCCAAAACAAGAAAUUUUGUUUUCUUCUGGACAAUACAAUGAAAUUAGCUCCAAAAACAUUGUUUACAGUCUCAUUUCCUCUGUUCCCCAAAACUUUGGAGAUUCAGAAUAUUAGCAUAUAAUAUUACAACAACAAAAACAAACUUUUCUCAAGAAGCAAUAGAAAAGAAUUACCUGUUUACAUCAGCAGGACAAUCAGGGAUAUAAUUUGAGCAGUCAGGGCCAUCAUAACAAGUAUUACACUCACAAAUUGGCCUACCAUCAACCACUAAACCAUCCAAGUAAGCUCUCCCGUGGCCCGAACACGAAAUCGAUGCCACAGCUUCUGCUUCUGCUGCUGCACUUGUGCUCCAACUCAAACUCCACUUGUUACUCACCAAGUGAUCAUAAGAAAAGAAUAUGUUCACCAGGAUAGAACACAAGAGACAAGCAUAUGCAUAUUUGUUGUAUCUUGAACUUUGAUCAGUCUUUGCACCCAUGUCUAAACUUGUAACCUUGUCUGAAGACUUGAUCUUUAUUUAAAUAUGUAAAACACAAUGCACCACGCAUCUGAAAACUUGAAAGUGACAAGUUAAUUAUAGCAUCUCUGUGUUAAAAUUUGUUGUACCUACGGGUCUCUGUGUUUCGAUGAAAAUAACUAUAAUGACGGUGGGUUAUAUUUAACAAUUACGAUAUUUUUAUUAAAUUUUAGCUAAGGAUUUUUGCGACAUGAGGUCGAGAUGCUCCUGGAUUCCAAAAUGUUCAUUGUUUUACGUCACUGUCUGAAUUAUUUAAUUGUCCUUCUCGUUCUUUUGAUUAGAGCCAUUCUUCAGCCUGGCCUGCACCACAGAAACAGUACUACUAGUGGCAUGUCGAUAUCAUGCACUAAAUUUUGGACCUACAAGUAUCGAAGAUUCCGUAUCAUAUUUCCCUUUUUUCUUGAGAAUUAAUUUAAUAGCGGAUUUUAACAACCACUUCCCACUAAUAAAUGAUUGACCCCUACGUGCAUAAAAAUUUACAUCAAUCAAAACAUCCCAACUUGAUAAAAAGUGGUUGUUAGCCAGAAAGAUCCAUUUAAUAGUACCAAAUUAUUCUUUACCACAAAUAUAUGCAAAGAUAAAAGAUACUAAUUACGUUUUAGAUUAGAAAAGUCUGAUACACCUGUGUAAGCAAGUAGAUUAAAUCCUAAUGAAAGACAAAGACUUGUAUUAGUCAAUGUAAUUAAUACUAGUGUUUGUGGUUGUAAAUCAUACUCUACUCCAUCUUGAUUGCUGAAAGUCAAUAGAAAUACGAUCUGUCCAGCCCUCACAGAUCCAAAGAUGCUUUCUGCAGUAAGCAGUGACAUAAAAACACCUCAUACAAACUUUUAUGGUUAACUCGCUACAACAAAAGUUCUUUUUUUUUUUUUUGAAACACGCUAGAACAAAAGCUGCUUCAGCCUCUUAUAAAUUUCUUUUUCGUGUAUUUAUUUACGUAAAUAUUUUAUAAGUGUUUUAACAUUUUCUAUUUAUAAUAUGUCUAUAUAAUGUUUAAAUAAAUAACUUAUUUCUGAAAAAUAUUAAUAUAAGUUUAACGGAGUCAUCCCGAGGCUUGAUGUGAUUGUUUGUGGCCUAGCAUAAAGAAGACGGACAACUAAUAAUUAAUUUUAAUAUAAUUAAAUAACAAAAUAUUGAUAUAUUUAUUAACAUUAUUGACGGAGAAAGUUAAGACACAUAACGCGUUUUUCUUAGAAUAAAUUUGCGCCCUCUGCUAAGAGCAUCUCCAACGGCGUUGGGUAUAAUCGUUGGCUAAAUUGGACCUGUAAGACAUUAUGUAAAAUUUGUUGAACCUGUAAGACAUUUUGUUUCAAUGGUAUUGGCUAUAUUGGUUGGCUAUAAUUUAAAAAUAGUAUGUUAUUAAUAUUUUAAAUUGUUAAAAUAGAAUAUAUCAUUUCAAUAUGGUAAUAAAUGAUGUACAAUCUUCCUACAGAUUUUCUUACAGACCUGUAGAGGUUCGACAAAUUUAGCCAUCCAUAGGAGGUUGGCUAAAUUUAUAGACAACAGCUGAACAUGGUUGGAGUUGUGUUUUUGGAGCUGUUGGCUAAAUUUUUUUAUUUUAAGUAUGCCAACUCACUUUUUAGUCAAAGGGUUUUAGAUGGUUGGAGAUGCUCUAACGGAGAAAAUAUUGAGCAAUCUCAAACCUAAGAAAAAAGAAUGCAAGGGAUAUUUCUCAACCUCAUUUUCGGUGUUAUUAUCUUAACGUUAUAGAGUAUUCACACACUUAACUAUUCAUUAUUUUCUAACAAGAUCUCGUUUAUGACUUAUUCUUGUAACAGACUUCUUAUGUUUAACUUUUAUUUCUAAGUCUGUUAAACAAAUUCAAAUAAUACUCCCUCCGUCCCAUUUUAUGUGACCCUUAUUCCUUUUUGGGACGUCCCAGAAAGAAUGAACUUACAAUACUUACUAUUUUUGAACACUACUUUUCACUAUUACACCCACUACUUUCUUCCACUAUCUCCAUUCUAUAAUAAUAUAAACACUAUUACACCCACUAUCUUCCUCCACUAUCCCAAAUCUAUUAUUAAAUAUUGGUAGGUCCCACCACUUUACCCACUUUUCAACUAAACUUACUACAUUUUUCUUAAUCUCCGUGAAAGUCAAACCAACUCACUCUUUUUGGGACGGAGGGAGUAGUAGUUUUAUUCUAACCAUUGUGUUUAAAUCUGCAACAACUAUAUUUUACAGGUCGUAUAUAAUCUGAUUCAGUAUUUCAAACAACUUGGCAAUCACACACAAGUACAUCUUCUUCAGACAGCUUUACAAAGAUCAUAUAUGUUCAAGUAUAGAAGAUGCACUCUUCAAGUUUUAAGUCAUAUUUUAUAAUUGCUUAUGUCGGAUUGUGGCGAUAGUUAGGAUUACAAAAGUAUAAGUCAAGGUAGUCAAUGGGCUAGGUAGUGAGUUGCUAGGUGACAUUUGUGUCGAGGAAAGCAAACUUUCAGAGGUUUACACCUGUGAUCGGUGAAAUUGUAAAUCUAUUACAUUGAUAAUAAUAUAAUCUCUGUUCUAGUUGGCAUAGGGACUUGAAUGUAGGUCAUAGAUUAGGAAUAGAGGCCGAACCAAGUGAAAAAUUCCCCGUGUUCUUGCAUUUACAUUAUGUCUUUACUUUUAUGUUAUUUCUACAAUGCAAGUUAAUUGAGACAGCACGGUAUACAAAAAAGACAGACUCAUUAGUAAUUGAGACAGACUCAUUUAUUAAACAGUUAAGUUUAUUGUGCUUAUCGAAUUUCAGAUCCUUGUAAAGAACAGUUGCAAGUAAUGUAACUUUUUUUUUUGAUUCUCUCUCCCUUUGAUACAUUUUUACAUACAUGUAUAAAUAAAAAAUGAGAAUACAGAUCUCCUUACAUAUGGAAAAAUGGUUAGAUGUCUGCCCUGGUACCACCAGCUUCUUGGAGAACUAAUACUUUUAAAUGCUGCAGCAAUUGAUCAAAAUCAUCUUGUGAUUUGAUGAGACUAAGGCGAACAUAUCGACUGCUGGCACCAAAUCUAGUACCAACACGACCAAGUAUGCCACCAUCUUCGAGGACUUUGUAACAUAGUUCAUCUUCUUCCCUCUCACAUUUCAGCCAUCCGUAAGCUGUUGUAGCAAGUUUAUUAAUUAACAAUUAAUUUGAUCAUGUAAAGCUUUUUUAUUGCAACAAAUGUGAAAUAAAUGUAUAAAAGACGAAGAUAGCAUAGCAUGCUUAUGAAGUAUUAACAUGAGGAUAAUGUAAAUAUUAAGCCCUUUAGCAGAACAAUUGAGGAUUCCAGAAGAUUUGCUAACUUAAGAUGAUGUUAUAAAAGUUCGUUUGACAACUCUAGUUCAAAUCCUCGGAAUCCCAGUAUUUUAACUUAAGCAAAAUAUAAAGGAGUACAUAUUAAGCACUCCUCGAACACUGUGUUUGUUUGCAAUGACUACAACCUCUUUGCUAUUCAUGAUUUAUGCCAAAAAAAAUAUUAUAUUUAACCCCAUGAACGAGCUAGUUUAUAGCAGCUUUCUAGUUCGUUUUGGGUGCAUAAGGUUUAAGAAGAAUUAAUAAAUUAACAUGGAGGAAUGCAAGGACAUAUCAUUUUGUUUCAAGAACUGAACAUAUAAUUACAUAAGCAUAGUGAUGGAUCACCUGGAGAAGGUCCUCUGACAUUCUUAAAGAAAGUACAGAAGCGGGGUGGAAUUUCUUGGAGAGUGAAGCGUUUGGACAACGAUACAGUUUGGCUCAAGCUUUCCCAUCGGGUUCUCAUCUUUUCAUAGGCAUAAUUAAAUAUAGAUCUCCCAUCUCCCUCAAGAACUACAUUUAAUAGCUUUAAGGCUCUCAGCUGAGUGUCCUUGGAGACUCCAAAAGUAUUUUCGCCUGUAUAGAUUAGCAUUUUCUCAUACACAGUCUUAUCUUUAACCAAAGCCCACCUGAAAAUAUUCAAUCACUAGCAAUGUUACAAACUGUUCAUUCCAAAUUCACAAUUAGUAUUCAUUAAUAGUGACAAUUAGCUGCAUCAAAAUUUACGGAAGACUCCUAAAAUCAUAUACAUGGAAAAAAAAUGUCAAUUAUUUCCACAAUAGAGUGAUCAUUUCUUACCCAAAUCGAACACCCGCAUGACCAGUAAGCUUGGAAAGUGUAAAGAUCAUAAGAUCUUCGUCUGAGGGAGAUGUUAUCGCAGUAUAAUGUGGCCAGUUGUAGGCAUGAUCAUGAAUUGCCUUGGCAGAUGGACCAUUAAGAACAGCUCGUUUUAACUUUCCAUCAGGAUUGUUAGGUGAAGUUACAAACUCAAUCAUAUCCAUAGUGUCAUCAGAAUUGUUUCUGUACAGUGAUGUAUCUCCAUAAAAUUCAUAAUCCUCAGUGGCAAAGAAUUCAGUCUGCUCUUCAU
rnacentral:lncRNA from 1 species